CCAAGUCAGCGUUUACUUUGAUGCUCAGUGACUCCAACACAAAGAUCUGGCACAGGAGAGGAUGGCAAAAGGCAGCCUUUGAGAGUCACUGCCCAAACCACCAGCAUGGUACUGAAGAUUCCAAGGUACCACAACCAGAGUAAUCAUUCCAAUUUACAAUAUCCUAAGGGCCAGCUCAUUAUCCACCCUCACUUUUUCCAAGACACAUAUAUAAGCUCCAUACGCCAUCCAUCGAAUUGCAUGUCACGAUCUCAACAACAGACAUUCAUCCACUUUUAUUUUCCCGUGUGGAUGGUUAGGCCAAAUGCUUGUGAGCUGUUAUGGACUUAAUAAAGGUUCUGUAACAUCCUGGA